GACCCUGGUUUAUGUGAAUAGGCCAAGUGCAUAGUUCUAUAUGCUGGAAACCCCUAAAGCUCUAAGUACUAAUAAAUUUCUUUAAAGUGAUAAUCUUAGAGAUAUUACAAUGGGCAAUCAGCAGGAAACCAAAGUAUAAUUAUAUUAGUAGGAUCCUCAGAGACUACACGAACUACAUGAUAUUAAUUAUCAUGAUGAUAUAGUCCAAUCUAUAAUAGAAAUAUAUAG
rnacentral:ncRNA from 1 species